rnacentral:rRNA from 1 species
CCUACGGGCGGCAGCAGUGGGGAAUAUUGCACAAUGGGGGAAACCCUGAUGCAGCGACGCCGCGUGAGUGAAGAAGUCUUUCGGUAUGUAAAGCUCUAUCAGCAGGGAAGAAAAUGACGGUACCUGAUUAAGAAGCCCCGGCUAACUACGUGCCAGCAGCCGCGGUAAUACGUAGGGGGCAAGCGUUAUCCGGAUUUACUGGGUGUAAGGGGAGCGUAGACGGCAGGACAAGUCUGGAGUGAAAUGCCGGGGCUUAACCCCGGAACUGCUUUGGAAACUGUGCAGCUAGAGUGCAGGAGAGGUAAGUGGAAUGCGUAGUGUAGCGGUGAAAUGCGUAGAUAUUAGGAGGAACACCAGUUGCGAAGGCAGCUUACUGGACUGUAACUGACGUUGAGGCUCGAAAGCGUGGGGAGCAGACAGGAUUAGAUACCCGAGUAGUC